rnacentral:rRNA from 1 species
AUUGAACGCUGGCGGCAUGGCUAAUGCAUGCAAGUCGAACGAAAGCCCUUCGGGGCGAAAGUGGCGAAAGGGCGAGUAAUACGAUCGAACGUACCCCAAGGUGGAGGAUAGUGUCGGGAAACUGACGGUAAUACUCCAUGUGCUCUUCGGAGGAAAGCUUUGGCGCCUCGGGAGCGGCGAUCGUCCUAUCAGGUAGUUGGUGAGGUAAUGGCUCACCAAGCCGAAGACGGGUAGCGGGUGUGAGAGCAUGACCCGCCGCAUCGGGACUGAGACACUGCCCGGACUCCUACGGGAGGCUGCAGCGACGAAUCUUCCGCAAUGGGCGCAAGCCUGACGGAGCAAUGCCGCGUGUGGGACGAAGCGUCUUCGACGUGUAAACCACUGUCAGAAUCUAGGAACACUGACCAGAUUCAAAGGAAGGGCCGGCUAACCUCGUGCCAGCAGCCGCGUAAUGUAGACGUCU